CUUAAAUAUUUUGGCGGUAUUUUAGUUUAUUUAGAGGAAUCUGUUUAUUAAUUGAUAAUCCACGAAUAAAUUUACUUAAUUUAUUAUUUUGUAUAUCAUUGUUAAAUAAAUAUUUUUUAAUAAUUAAUAAUAUUUUAAAAUUAAAAUUAAAAAUUAAAUCAAAUCAAGAUGCAGAUUAUAAUUAAGAAUAUAAUGGAUUACAAUAAUUUUAUUUAAAUGAAUUUUAAUUUGUAAUAAUUAAAUGAAGGUGGAUUUAAAUGUAAUUUUAUUUAUUUUAAUAAUUUGAUUAAAAAUU
rnacentral:rRNA from 1 species